GCGGAGGAAAAGAAACCAACCGGGAUUGCCUCAGUAACGGCGAGUGAAGCGGCAAGAGCUCAAAUUUGAAAUCUGGCCCCUUUGGGGUCCGAGUUGUAAUUUGCAGAGGAUGCUUCGGGUGCGGUCCCCGUCUAAGUGCCCUGGAACGGGCCGUCAUAGAGGGUGAGAAUCCCGUCUGGGAUGGGCGGCCGCGCCCGUGUGAAGCUCCUUCGACGAGUCGAGUUGUUUGGGAAUGCAGCUCUAAGCGGGUGGUAAAUUUCAUCUAAAGCUAAAUACUGGCCGGAGACCGAUAGCGCACAAGUAGAGUGAUCGAAAGAUGAAAAGCACUUUGAAAAGAGAGUUAAACAGCACGUGAAAUUGUUGAAAGGGAAGCGUUGUCCACCAGACUCGCCCGGGGGGGUUCAGCCGGCACGUGUGCCGGUGUACUCCUCUCCGGGCGGGCCAGCAUCGGUUUGGGCGGUUGGUGAAAGGCCCCGGGAAUGUAACACCCUUCGGGGUGCCUUAUAGCCCGGGGUGCCAUACAGCCAGCCUGGACCGAGGCCCGCGCUUCGGCGAGGAUGCUGGCGUAAUGGUGGUCAACGGCCCGUCUU
rnacentral:rRNA from 1 species